UACACUAUAAGACUGGGAUAACUUCGGGAAACCGGAGCUAAUACCGGAUAAUAUAUUGAACCGCAUGGUUCAAAAGUGAAAGACGGUCUUGCUGUCGCUUAUAGAUGGAUCCGCGCUGCAUUAGCUAGUUGGUAAGGUAACGGCUUACCAAGGCAACGAUGCAUAGCCGACCUGAGAGGGUGAUCGGCCACACUGGAACUGAGACACGGUCCAG
rnacentral:rRNA from 1 species